UACGGAGGGUGCAAACGUUGCUCGGAAUUAUUGGGCGUAAAGCGCACGUAGGCGGUCCAGCAAGUCGAGUGUGAAAGCCCUCGGCUUAACCGAGGAAGUGCAUUCGAAACUACUGGACUUGAAUACUGAAGAGGAUCGCGGAAUUCCCGGUGUAGAGGUGAAAUUCGUAGAUAUCGGGAGGAACACCAGUGGCGAAGGCGGCGAUCUGGGCAGAUAUUGACGCUGAGGUGCGAAAGCGUGGGGAGCAAACAGGG
rnacentral:rRNA from 1 species